AGUGAACGCUGGCGGUAGGCCUAACACAUGCAAGUCGAACGGCAGCACAGUAAGAGCUUGCUCUUACGGGUGGCGAGUGGCGGACGGGUGAGGAAUACAUCGGAAUCUACUUUUUCGUGGGGGAUAACGUAGGGAAACUUACGCUAAUACCGCAUACGACCUACGGGUGAAAGCAGGGGAUCUUCGGACCUUGCGCGAUUGAAUGAGCCGAUGUCGGAUUAGCUAGUUGGCGGGGUAAAGGCCCACCAAGGCGACGAUCCGUAGCUGGUCUGAGAGGGUGAUCAGCCACACUGGAACUGAGACACGGUCCAGACUCCUACGGGAGGCAGCAGUAGGGAAUAUUGGACAAUGGGCGCAAGCCUGAUCCAGCCAUACCGCGUGGGUGAAGAAGGCCUUCGGGUUGUAAAGCCCUUUUGUUGGGAAAGAAAAGCAGCAGGUUAAUACCCCGCUGUUCUGACGGUACCCAAAGAAUAAGCACCGGCUAACUUCGUG
rnacentral:rRNA from 1 species